rnacentral:siRNA from 1 species
GCUUUCACCCCCGGACUUUUGGGCC